rnacentral:rRNA from 1 species
CAUGCAGUCGAGGGGCAGCGCAGUGUAGCAAUACAUGGGCGGCGACCGGCAAACGGGUGCGGAACACGUACGCAACCUUCCUUCAAGCGGGGCAUAGCUUUCGGAAACGAAAAUUAAUACCCCAUAGUAAUGUCUGAGGGCAUCUGAGGACAUUUAAAGAUUUAUCACUUGAAGAUGGGCGUGCGCCUGAUUAGGUAGUUGGCGGGGUAACGGCCCACCAAGCCUACGAUCAGUAACUGGUGUGAGAGCACGACCAGUCACACGGGCACUGAGACACGGGCCCGACUCCUACGGGAGGCAGCAGUAAGGAAUAUUGGUCAAUGGACGCAAGUCUGAACCAGCCAUGCCGCGUGGAGGAUGAAGGUCCUCUGGAUUGUAAACUUCUUUUAUCGGAGAAGAAACCCCUGAAUUCUUUUAGGGUUGACGGUACCCGAUGAAUAAGCACCGGCUAACUCCGUGCCAGCAGCCGCGGUAAUACGGAGGGUGCAAGCGUUAUCCGGAUUCACUGGGUUUAAAGGGAGCGUAGGUGGGCUGGUAAGUCAGUGGUGAAAUCUCCGGGCUUAACUCGGAAACUGCCGUUGAUACUAUCAGUCUUGAAUGUUGUGGAGGUAAGCGGAAUAUGUCAUGUAGCGGUGAAAUGCUUAGAUAUGACAUAGAACACCGAUAGCGAAGGCAGCUUGCUACACAAUUAUUGACACUGAGGCUCGAAAGCGUGGGGAUCAAACAGGAUUAGAUACCCUGGUAGUCCACGCCCUAAACGAUGGAUACUCGACAUAUGCGAUACACUGUAUGUGUCUGAGCGAAAGCAUUAAGUAUCCCACCUGGGAAGUACGACCGCAAGGUUGAAACUCAAAGGA